CUAUGGCAUGUAGGGAUGCUGCACAGUCUUUUCUAUGAUGAUGAAUAAUGAGAAAAAUUUAAAAUUUUAUUUUGAAUCUGAAAUAAUGUAUAUUAGAUCUAAAAUUAUAAUCUUGAUCAUUAGAUAAUUGAUUAUAAAAUUAUUUUAUAAAAUUAAAAACUAUUUUCAAAUAUCGAAUCCAAACCUAUAUCAGCCCAAAACUUA
rnacentral:lncRNA from 1 species